ACUAUUUAUAUUUCAUAGGAUAACGUUUCUCUGCAUUUGUAAUUUUUGAUGUGAUUUCCCGUAUUUUAAUUUGACCCACCAAGGCAACAGCGUGCGUUUUGGGGCACGCUCUUGAAGUGCUACACACACUGUGCUUCCAGGGCGCCGGGUGUCCUUCUGAGAGCUCCUGCAGUGGCCGAGAGGAGCUGGGAGAGCUCCCAGGUAGGGGAGGGAGCAGGCUCUCUGUUUUCCGCUGGUGUAAAGAGCCUUCUGCGCUGGACACUGCCCCUUCCCCGCUGCCUGCGAGCCGCGGUGCCCCAGCCCCGCGCCCGGGGCAGCUGAUGGAGGCCGGGAGGAGGGGCAGAACCGCGGACCGGCCGCCGCCUCCCCGGGCGACACGUGGCUCCGGUGGGUCCCGGGGCUGGCGGAUGCUGCGGUGCCGUCCCGGUGGCGUUCCUCUUCCAGUCUGCGGCGCAGGGGCUUUCACAGCAUCUUUUUCUUUCUUUUCCUUUCCCCCCUCUUUUCCUCUCUCUCUCCCCGCUAUCCGUCCAAGUUUUCUUUUUAAAAAACCCAAACUUUUUUCUUCUUUACUUUUUUUUUUUUUUUUUUUUCCCCCCCCCCCCCCCCCCCCCCCCCCCCCCCCCCCCCCCCCCCCCCCCCCCCCCCCCCCCCCCCCCCCCCCCCCCCCCCCCCCCCCCCCCCCCCCCCCCCCCCCCCCCCCCCCCCCCCCCCCCCCCCCCCCCCCCCCCCCCCCCCCCCCCCCCCCCCCCCCCCCCCCCCCCCCCCUUUUUUUUUUUUUUUUUUCCCUUGCAAGAGCCACGCCGUGGAAAGACGGGGUGGUGGAGGAGAGCGAAACCCCUCCCCUUCCCCUCCUCCGUGGCUUCUUCCUCGGAAAAGAAACAUUUGGGGGGUUUCCUCCCCUCCUACCCCUCCCCUCCCUUCUGUGCCGCUGCGCUGCCCGGAGCCGAAGCCGCGGCCGAGGAGGGCCCGGCGGAGCAGCCGCGCCGCCCCCGGAUGGAUUUGCUCUUAUGUAA
rnacentral:lncRNA from 12 species